rnacentral:rRNA from 1 species
CCUACGGGAGACAGCAGUGGGGAAUAUUGGUCAAUGGGCGCGAGCCUGAACCAGCCAUGCCGCGUGAAGGUCAGUGCCCUAUGGGCGUUAAACUUCUUUUGUGCGGGAGCAAUAAUGGUCACGUGUGGCCAGACGAGAGUACCGUACGAAUAAGCAUCGGCUAACUCCGUGCCAGCAGCCGCGGUAAUACGGGGGAUGCAAGCGUUAUCCGGAUUUAUCGGGUUUAAAGGGUGCGUAGGCUGUGAGGUAAGUCAGCGGUGAAAUGCCCCCGCUCAACGGGGUGAAGUGCCAUUGAUACUGCCUUGCUGGAAUGCGGAUGCCGUGGGAGGAAUGUGUGGUGUAGCGGUGAAAUGCAUAGAUAUCACACAGAACACCGAUUGCGAAGGCAUCUCACGAAUCCGCGAUUGACGCUGAUGCACGAAAGCGUGGGUAUCAAACAGGAUGAGAUACCCUAGUAGUC